UUUCACCCUUCUUUGUUCUCCACCGGUCUGGGCAGGGUCUGAGGACUCCGGAGAGCAAGGCAUGGGUCCGCCUCGUGCCGCAGGUAUCCUGGGGUCCUGUGGGGAGGGCUCUGCGGUGUGGGGCCGGGUAUGAUGACCCACAUUUACAGACUAGAGUUUCUGAUGUCCACGUGACGCCACUCCUUGUAACUGACCCAGGCCGGGGUGGGGGCUGCAGGCCGGGGUCUCUACGACCUGUGCUCAUUCAAUGAUCUCUUCCAGGUUCCUGGCCCACGCCAGCCGUACCCAGUAGCACAAUGGUAAGCGCAUGCUGGCGAGAGGUAGGCGGUGUGAGGAGGGGCUGGUUUCGGGGAGAGGACAGUAAUGAUGAUUUCUGGUGAUUCUGAGUGUCUCGCUGACGCCAUCACCGCAGCGCGCUGACCGUCCCCGGGUCCAAAAUCGGCAGUGGCGUGGGUUUUGAGUGGCCUAGAGUUCUGAGUAAUUUACCUCUGUGUCUUGCUUUCUGGUAGGGAUUUGAGGACACACGCCAGCUGCCUACACCUGAAGAAAGGGUGAGCUCUGAGGACUUCACAGGGGCCCCAUCCCCUCACCUAGAUGAGGGCUAACCUUGGAAUCCAGACAAAGGUGGAAGUGACCUAGAUGUGACCUGAAUGAGCUAAUCAUCUAAUGAGAGCCAGCCCUUUGUCCUGCCCACAUGAAGGGCUUUGCUGCUACGCACUGACAAGUUGGACGGCUUUUUAUUGCUUUGUUGCCAGUUAUCUGAACAUGAGAGGCUGUAAGGUGUAAUCUGCGAGCCCUGCGCCCAGACUGAACCAGGGCCUCCCUUGAACAUGAGUAUUAGACAAAUGAAAUAAGAACUUAUCUUGCCCAGACUAUAUAAUGGCUUGGAAAUGCAUAGUUUCCUGAACGAUCUCAAUAAAAUACUUUUAAAAGU
rnacentral:lncRNA from 1 species